AUGACCCUGUGGUGUCUCCAGCCCUCUGGGAAUGGCAGGGAAUAGAUGCAGAGCCAGUGAGGAGCAGGGUCAGCACAGGAACCUUCCCUGGAGGUGGUGCAUCUGGUGAAGUCCCCGUAGGAGCUCAAACAGGAUGGCACUGGGGAAGGAUGAUUGUUAAUGAAGCCAAAGAAAAGUUAAAAGAGACACCAGAAGGAAAUUUCUUGGUUAGAGAUAGUUCACAUUCAGAUGAUCUACUAACAGUAUCUGUUAAAAUAUCAGCUGGACCAACUAAUCUGCAAGUUGAAUAUGAAGAUGGGCAAUUGGCAUGGAACUCUAUCAUGUAUCAAGUCCAAGCUUCAACAGUUUGAUGGUGUGGCACAUCUGAUGACUUUGUUCAGGUGUGCAAGGAUAAGCAGAUGGACCCCAAAGCCUUUAGAUCAACACUGCUCACCUUUAUCUGCUCACUGUUCUACUCAUCAGCAACACCCCUGCAACACUGUCUAGACUCACCAUUGACAAAAUGCACUGGUGCCAUCUGGGGACUGCCUUUACCAACAGUACUAACAGGUUACGUGGAAGAACAAAAACUCCC
rnacentral:lncRNA from 1 species